rnacentral:rRNA from 1 species
GAUGAACGCUAGCGGCAGGCCUAACACAUGCAAGUCGAGGGGUAGAGGAAGCUUGCUUCCUUGAGACCGGCGCACGGGUGCGUAACGCGUAUGCAAUCUACCUUGUACUGAGGGAUAGCCCAGAGAAAUUUGGAUUAAUACCUCAUAGCAUUAUGAAAUCGCAUGGUUUUAUAAUUAAAGUUCCAACGGUACAAGAUGAGCAUGCGUCCCAUUAGUUAGUUGGUAAGGUAACGGCUUACCAAGACGAUGAUGGGUAGGGGUCCUGAGAGGGAGAUCCCCCACACUGGUACUGAGACACGGACCAGACUCCUACGGGAGGCAGCAGUGAGGAAUAUUGGUCAAUGGACGCAAGUCUGAACCAGCCAUGCCGCGUGCAGGAUGAAGCAUCUAUGGUGUGUAAACUGCUUUUGUACGGGAAGAAACACUCCUACGUGUAGGAACUUGACGGUACCGUAAGAAUAAGGAUCGGCUAACUCCGUGCCAGCCGCCGCGGUAAGAC